UUUAAUCCAAGUAUUGUAAGUACAAGUUGUGCUUUUGUGUACAUACACAUGUACGUCAUAGUUAUACGUUUAUCGAAAUUUGCGUAUUUAUAAAUAAUUGUAUUAGCCAUAAAACCAUCAAGAGGGUGCUUUAACGAAGACACGAAUAUGUUUGGGUUUAACAUGUUUGAGAUCGUUAGGCCUUUCAACAAUCAUUACAGAUGUUUUUCUGUGUCGAUGUUACCAGGAAAAUAUCGGCAAGAUGUAGAACGUGGCGGAAAAAUAAUCAUGCCACCCUCGGCUUUAGAACAUCUCACAAGAUUGAAUAUCAGCUUUCCCAUGAUAUUUAAAUUAAGCAACGAAAAGACUAACAGAAUUACUCAUUGUGGUGUUUUGGAAUUUGUUGCAAACGAAGGAAGAAUUUAUUUACCUCAUUGGAUGAUGCAUAAUCUUUUAUUACAAGAGGGAGAUCUAGUCAAUGUUGAAAGUGUAUUUCUGCCAAUUGCUACAUUCUCACGGUUCCAACCACAAUCUGAAGAUUUUCUAGACAUCACAAAUGCCAAAGCUGUUUUAGAAAAUGGAUUAAGAAACUUUGCUUGUCUUACAACAGGUGACAUUAUUGCCAUAAAAUACAAUGAAAGAAUAUACGAAAUGUGCGUUUUGGAGACGCAACCUGGUCCUGCAGUUACUAUCAUAGAAUGUGAUAUGAACGUUGAGUUUGCUCCACCAUUGGGAUACGUAGAAAAAGAAAUUAAGAAAGAUGAAAAUGUAGUAGACCCAGCAGAUCUAAUGCCUGCACCGUCAGGUUUCAUACCAUUCAAAGGAGAGGGUGUCAGAUUGGACGGUAAAAAACCUAGAGAUUGUGCAAAGCCUGAAGUGACUGUAAAUAAACCAACUUAUAUUAGGGGAAUACCAGAUUACGAUUAUAAAAUAGGAACUCUUGUAUUUCUGCGUAAUACUAAACCUGUUAACAAUAAGGAGAUGAAAGAUCCAGAUGAAUUUAAAGCAUUCACUGGUGAAGGCUUUUCACUUAGGGAUCAGAAGACAAAGUAGUCGAACAAUUGACGAAUUAUUUAUUUUCAUACAAUUACGUAUAUUUAUAAAAGAUACGCAAUUACGCGAUAACAAAUUUAAUCCACCAAGGGGCCCCAAAAAUAUUUACUGGGUUUUGUCGGAUCUUCCGUUAUGAAAAAGUCGCGGCCCAACGUUAUAAAUUCUUCGAAACUUAUUUUACCAUCACAAUUAGUAUCGAUAUGACAGAAGGCAAUAACUGCGUCCUAUAAUAAAUAUAAAAAAUUUAAAGAACUUCAUUAUUUCAGUUUUGUUUUCAUUAUCACGGUAAUACGUAAUGCUUGCUUACGUCAUGGGUGAGACCUAGGCAUUGGAAGAAUAACUUGAAUUCUUGUACAGAAAUUUCUCCACUAUGAUCUUUGUCUACUGCCUGCAAUUUUAUAUUAGAUAAUAAAUAUUUCUUACAUAUUCUUUAAUGUA